AGUGUGUAGCGUUCCAUGAUGAAAUGUAUACUAAUGAAGUUUACAAAUGACAAGCGAAAAAUAAAAAAUAUUGCGUCGUUCGCCCUCCCUAUCGGAAAAAAGUUGAAGCGCACCUAUUGAAAAACGCUUUAUAUAUGACACAAAUCCAUGGGAAUAGUUAAGUUAAAAAUAUAAAUAAUUAAGUACCACUUAUAAAAUAACAUAAAAUUAUUCUAUGGCUUACAACGACCUUUUUCAAUUUUUUACUACAUUUUCAGAAAGGGGAUAAACUUAUGCCCUUUUUCCCUUGCUUCCAAAUUGCAUCAAUGGAUUAAGUAGCAUCCGAAAUCAGUUGUCAAACUUUACUUAACCUUGUAUAAUUGAAUCAUGGGAAAAUACUGUUUAAAAAACGAAUCGAAUGCUGAAAAAUUGGAUAACAAAAUUCCGAAAUUAUUUCUGGAAUGUUCGCAACUGAAACUAAAAAUGUUUGAUGCGAGGCCGCAACUGAAAUCAACAAUAACAUAAUAAUAAUUUUGUUGUUGCAGUCAGCUAAUUCUUUUUGCUUUCGAAAUAUGAGAACAGAAAAAUAAAAAUUUGUGAAACUUGCAUACAUGCAUACAUACUUAUAUGCAUAUGUAAAUACUUACAUGCAUGUGCAUCAUAUAAAUAUCGACGAAGAAUUCGACUUAGUGGCAAAAAUAAAUAAAUGUAUAUAUGUUUAUAUCUAUAUAAAUGUAGUAUGUACGUUGGUGUGAAUCAAGCAACAGAGUACUUAAAAUAAACAAAGAAACGUAUGUACAACAACGAUGUAGAGGAAUCAGAAGGUGUGGCCAAAUAUAAGACCGUUAACCGGCUCCAAACGAUUUUGAGGGAAUCAGCUGACUUGCUGACGCAACAAGGGACAUCUACGCAAUUUCGAAUGAUUGCUGAAUAUAUACAUAUGUAUUGUAUAUAAAUUUUUGUAAUUGAAUAACAAAAAUUUAAUUAGAAAUAAUUCAUAUAUAAAUAAUUAACGUAAAAUAAAACAUGUCCCAUAAGUUUUUUAAAUUAUACUUAUUUUACCAGCAAAAAUAAUCCAAAAAUAUACGCGGAUUACUAACUGCAUAAGUAACAUAUGUAAACAAGGAUACAGGAGCCUGAUAUAUGGAAUUGUUUGACGCUAACGCUUUCCUUAAUAUGUAAUCAAAAUAUUUUACACAUGGUACCGUUAUCCAUGCAUUGCUUUGUCUUUGAUUCCAGCGAAAUUUAUGUCACAAAAGUUAGUAUACAGCAAACAAUUGUUCAGGAAAUAAUUAAAUAAUGGCACCAAGAGGAAUGAUUUAUUGAUGAUUUAAAAAAACUGAUUAUAAAAUAUCACAAGGAACAUACAUAAAUCAUUGCGAGAAAUCGGUCGUUUGACACAUAUGUAGGAGUUUUGCUACAGUUGAAAAGAUUGGGAAUAAAUAUAAAAGUGCGGGAGGCACCACUAAUAAAGAGCGUUGUGGGCGUCCGCCGCUUUUAAGUCCCAGAGAAAAAAGCUUAGUCGUACGAAAAAUCAGGACAAACCCCAAAAUAAAUGCCCCCAAAUUGAAAUCUGAAGUUGAAAAUGAGACUGGAAAACAAUUAAGCCACCCAAACUAUUCGCCGGGUUUUGCAUAGUGUUGGUUAUCAUGGGUGCAGUGUUAGGAACUAGUCCUUCGUGAGUAGUGUCAAUCGGAAUAAACGGAUUUCAUUCGCAAAAGGUCAUGAAAAAUAUGACCAAACGUUUUGGAACCAAGUCAUAUUUUCUGAUGACUGUAAGUUCAGUAUCUGUGGAUCUGAUGGCCGUGAAAAAGUUUGGAGAAAAGUUAACGCGGAAUUGGAUCCAAACAAUAUGACUGGCACUGUGAAGCAUGGAGGUGUUCUGUGAUGGUUUGGGGAUGUAUGACUGCGGUGUUGGAAACUUGGGAUUUAUCGAAAAUAUUAUGGACCGAUAUGGUUACUUAAAUAUUUUGAAAAAUAUUUUAAAAGAAAACGCUACGAAAUUGGGCCUUGGAGCAACGUUUAUCUUUCAGCAGGAUAAUGACCCAAGCACACAUCCAACAUUGUACGAGAGUGGCUGUUAUACAAUGUGCGAAAACAGCUGAAAACACCUCCACAGUCCCCGGAUACUAACCCAAUCGAACAUUUAAAGCGGCAAAUACGUUAACAUCUCAUUAGAAAUAAGGAACAACUGAAAAACGUCCUUCAAGAGGAAUGGAAUAAAAUACCACCAGCUGUAACUGAAAACUUGGUGAAAUCAAUGCCAUCACGACUUAAAGCAAUUGUAAAGUCUAAUGGUUAUCCUACCAAAUACUAGGAUUUGAUUUUAAUUAUGUUUUUGAUUUCACAAAUUAAUAAUAUGAUGAACUGUAUACUUACAUUUGAGACAUGCAUUUUUUAAAGUUUUAUAUAAAAAGCUAUAAUUUGGUUGCGUUUUAAAAUUUUGUCAUUAUUUGGAUUAAAUAUGAUUUUUGUAUUUCAUUCAUGUAAAUAAAACACAAUUUUGUUAUAACUUAGGUUGUUUGAAGGAAUCGAUUGGGGGAAAAUUGAAAACGUAUCCGGUGUAUACUUAUUUCUAUUACUAACUGUAAAAUGAAUUGAAAAUU